ACCGGCAUCUCCCGCGGUGGCCAUUUCCAUUGGGCCUAAAACGUUCGUAGCCGGUUUGAUAAGUCUCUGGUGAAAUCCCGCAGCUUAACUGUGGGACUUGCUGGAGAUACUAUUAGACUUGAGGUCGGGAGAGGUUAGGGGUACUCCCAGGUUAGGGGUGAAAUCCUAUAAUCCUGGGAGGACCACCUGUGGCGAAGGCGCCUAACUGGAACGAACCUGACGGUGAGUAACGAAAGCCAGGGGCGCGAACCG
rnacentral:rRNA from 1 species